GCGGGCACGGGUCGCUCUCCCUUUUCCGCUCCCGCCGCCAUGAGGGGUGGCUGUCCCUCGCGCGGCCCCGCCGAUGAAGGUAUAUCAGCUACACUCCUUCCUCUGGCUUCAGCGCAGAUCUGCCUCCCAGAUGUGGAGACGUAAAGCUACUUCUUCCGAAGGAUUUGAAUCCUGCACUUCAGAGAGAUGCAGAAGAAGCAUCAUCACCUGGCACAAUGUUGCAGGGAGAUUGAACUAAACUGUUGCAAGGCUGCCCUCAACUGAGGAGCCUCAUGCCUCUUGUGUGAGGAACCAUUUCACAUGUUACUGAUGUUGAUGAAGACAAGGCCUUCCUAAUUAAAGGCUUCCAAAUGUUUCUCAUUGUGAGGUGUGAUGGAGCUGGGAUGUGAUGCACCUGGUAGUGCUGCCAGCAAAGGGUGACGCUUGCGUGGAGUUUGAGAAAUAAAAUGGAUGUGUCUGAGGAAGGGACUGUGCUGUCUGCAGCCUCACUGGGUGAAGAAACAACCCUGAAAUUAGCAUAUGAAGAAUUGAGAAGGUGGAAGAUGGCUGAUAAAUGGGUUACACUUGAAUGAACAGCAUUAAAAAAGCCAUUUGUUUUUACCUCACUUGUAAUGUUGGCCUGAUGCUGAUUGGAGUGAAUAAAAAUCUGUAAACUU